rnacentral:rRNA from 1 species
GGCGAGUGAAGCGGCAACAGCUCAAAUUUGAAAUCUGGCUUCGGCCCGAGUUGUAAUUUGUAGAGGAUGCUUUUGGUGAGGUGCCUUCUGAGUUCCCUGGAACGGGACGCCAGAGAGGGUGAGAGCCCCGUAUAGUCGGCCACCGAUCCUCUGUAAAGCUCCUUCGACGAGUCGAGUAGUUUGGGAAUGCUGCUCAAAAUGGGAGGUAUAUCUCUUCUAAAGCUAAAUAUAGGCCAGAGACCGAUAGCGCACAAGUAGAGUGAUCGAAAGAUGAAAAGCACUUUGAAAAGAGGGUUAAAUAGCACGUGAAAUUGUUGAAAGGGAAGCGCUUGUGACCAGACUUGCGCCGGGCUGAUCAUCCAGUGUUCUCACUGGUGCACUCGACCCGGCUCAGGCCAGCGUCGGUUCUCGCAGGGGGAUAAAAGCUUCGGGAACGUGGCACCUUCGGGUGUGUUAUAGCCCGCUGCUUAAUACCCCUGUGGGGACCGAGGUUCGCGCUCUGCAAGGACGCUGGCAUAAUGGUCAUCAGCGACCCGUCUUGAAACACGGACCAAGGAGUCGAGGUUUUGCGCGAGUGUUUGGGUGUAAAACCCGCACGCGUAAUGAAAGUGAACGUAGGUGAGAGCUUCGGCGCAUCAUCGACCGAUCCUGAUGUAUUCGGAUGGAUUUGAGUAAGAGCGUAUAGCCUCGGACCCGAAAGAUGGUGAACUAUGCCUGAAUAGGGUGAAGCCAGAGGAAACUCUGGUGGAGGCUCGCAGCGGUUCUGACGUGCAAAUC